rnacentral:misc_RNA from 1 species
AAGUCGUAACAAGGUUUCCGUAGGUGAACCUGCGGAAGGAUCAUUAAAGAGUUAGGGUCUUCUAGGCCCGACCUCCCAACCCUGUGUUUAACAACCAUUUGUUGCUUCGGCGGGCCCGUCUUUACUGACCGCCGGAGGACCGUCGAGAGACGCCCUCUGGCCAGCGCCCGCCGAUGGCCAACUAUACCUCAACUCUGAAUAAACAUGCCUAUGUCUAAGUAAUUUAUCAAAUAAAUUAAAACUUUCAACAACGGAUCUCUUGGUUCUG